rnacentral:tRNA from 1 species
GGUGAAGUGGCCGAGUGGUCGAAGGCGCCUCCCUGCUAAGGAGGUAUGUCAGCAAUGGCAUCGAGGGUUCAAAUCCCUCCUUCACCGCCA